CGCGGUGGUCCCACCUGACCCCAUGCCGAACUCAGAAGUGAAACGCCGUAGCGCCGAUGGUAGUGUGGGGUCUCCCCAUGCGAGAGUAGGACACUGCCAGGCA
rnacentral:rRNA from 4 species